rnacentral:lncRNA from 1 species
CGCAAGAAAAUCAAGAAGAGGGAAACCCGAAGCUCCAGAAAGAAGAAAAAAACUAGAGAGAAGUGAGAGAGAGAGAAGUGAGAAGUAAGUUGAAAAGACGAAUAACGCGUGUAAAGAAAUUCAUAUGCAGAGCUAUGGAAUUCUGCUUAUAUUGAAUCAACGAUGGACCCAAUAUGGACGUCGCGGUGGAUCUGCUUGGAAAUUUCAAUGCCCGAUAACGCGAGAUCUGAUUUCAUAUAUAUUUCCGAACUAUCAUGGAUUCAUUUCACGAGGGUGCAGCGUGAGAUGGUUCGUCUUGCGACUUGGGAGAAAAUCAUUUCAACCCCUAGACCCAUGGCUGAUCCUUCGUCCGCA